AGCGAACGCUGGCGGCAGGCCUAACACAUGCAAGUCGAACGAACCUUUCGGGGUUAGUGGCGGACGGGUGAGUAACACGUGGGAACGUGCCUUUAGGUUCGGAAUAACUCAGGGAAACUUGUGCUAAUACCGAAUGUGCCCUUCGGGGGAAAGAUUAAUCGCCUUUAGAGCGGCCGCGUCUGAUUAGCUAGUUGGUUGAGGUAAUGGCUCACCAAGGCGACGAUCAGUAGCUGGUCUGAGAGGAUGAUCAGCCACAUUGGGACUGAGACACGGCCCAAACUCCUACGGGAGGCAGCAGUGGGGAAUCUUGCGCAAUGGGCGAAAGCCUGACGCAGCCAUGCCGCGUGAAUGAUGAAGGUCUUAGGAUUGUAAAAUUCUUUCACCGGGGACGAUAAUGACGGUACCCGGAGAAGAAGCCCCGGCUAACUUCGUG
rnacentral:rRNA from 1 species